AUACGGAGGGUGCGAGCGUUAAUCGGAAUUACUGGGCGUAAAGCGUACGUAGGCGGUUGGUUAAGUUAGAUGUGAAAGCCCCGGGCUUAACUUGGGAACUGCAUUUGAAACUGGGUAACUAGAGUUUAGUAGAGGGGAGUGGAAUUUCAGGUGUAGCGGUGAAAUGCGUAGAGAUCAGAAGGAACACCAGUGGCGAAGGCGACUCCCUGGACUAAAACUGACGCUGAGGUACGAAAGCGUGGGUAGCAAACAGGAUUAGAAACCCGAGUAGUCC
rnacentral:rRNA from 1 species